GAGGAUAUAGUUUAAUGGAAAAAUAGCUAACUUUCAUUUAGUAGACGGUGGGUUCGAUUCCUGCUAUCCUCACCA
rnacentral:tRNA from 1 species